AUGCAUCUGUUUGACAGACCUGGAGCAAACACUGUUGCUUCUCGGGUUCUCUCUUGAGAUGCAACAGUAACGGGUUCCUUGCGCUUUCUGCCUGUCUGACUCCGUGGCAGUUCGGAUUGAAUAAAGGAACACAAAU
ensembl:snoRNA